CUCAAAUUUCCCAGACGGGACUAGGAGCUCAUUGUCUUGCUGGUGUAUAAAUGUGUGGUAAAAUGCAGACCUUCUCCCAGGAUCAGGGAUCCCAAAAGAUUAUAUAAAAUGGCAGACAAACGUUAGUGGUCACUUCUUUGAAUUUUGCUGAUGAUAGUACUUGUCUACUUUUGAAGAGUAUAUAAAGACCUGAGCACUGCAUUCAUGAAAACCAUGCUAACCAUGUCUGACAAUUACAAUUUAGAAAACAAACAACUGCUCCAGCUUACAGGAAGAGCAAAAUAGUGCUCAAUUCCAAGAUAAUAAGAAUUGUUAGAAAAGCAAAACAAAACAUUGUUAUCUGCUGUUUUUCUCCUGGUUUGGAAGAGUGCCAAAUUUGCAUGCUGUGGGGGCUUGUAGAAGCUUUAAAUUAUAAAGACUAACUCUACAUUUUUAGUAGUGCUUUGUGUCAGUGACGUGGCUUCCACACCCUUUGCUACAAUAUACAGGAUUUAUAUUCUAAAUAUAUGAAUCAAUACCAUUGCAAGGCUGGAAAGCACAAACUUUCCAUGAACUUAACAGUGUUGUGAAACCAGUGAAGCUAUGUUGAAGUUAUGUUGCAUUGAAGUGGUUUACUGUUACGGGUGAUGUGGAUGGUGAUGUACUUUACCUUUGUAAUGUCAUGCCAGAAAGAAGAAAAACAGCUGCUUUCCACUACACAUUUUGCGGCCCACUUGCAAGUUGUACAUAGAGUGGUACUGUGACUCCAAAAUCUCUUCCAUCCUCUAAGGAGAUUGAGGAGAUGAGAGGACAAGGAGGAUCAAGGAGACGAAGGGAGAGCUAAUGUCAGCUGGCAGCCUACAGAAGAAACACAUUAGAAAAGUGACCUGCAUCUUAGUUCAGAUUACCAUGUAUUUAAGACUGUCUCAGUUCAGGAGAAGAUGUGGUUCAGCAUACUGAAUCGUCCUUCUUUCUUUAGGAAUCUGUUGUUCUGGGAGGAAAACUGAUGAACUGGCUCAGAUCUACUGGAAGUACAAAUCAAAAUGUGAUGUCAUUAUUGCCAAAUUAUGAAAAAAAUACUGCCUGUGAAAUAUGAAUGUGAAAUACUGCACAGAAAAUGGGGUAUAUACUGUUCAGAUACAUUUGCAGGGGUGGUUCAAGGAGGCAGAAAAUUAGGACUCCAAAUUUGUAAUUAACAAAGACUGAAAAUGAUACUGUGUUACUUCACUCUUUGUUAUGGAGUUCAUUGCGUUAUACUCAUCUUAAUGUAGGCUCAGUGCAGCUACCAGGAAAAACCCCAAACUGUUCAGGCUUCAGCAUCUACCAGCUGCAAAAUCAUUAUUCUUAAUGGUGAGGCAAGAUCCAAUAACAACAACAACAACAACAUCAUCAUCAUCCUGGGAUCUUUCAAACCAAAUGGUCUUUGUAUUACGUCAUAUUUGGAAAAUGGUAUUUCCAACAGCACAGUCAUUGCUGACAUUGUAACGAAGGCACUAGUUCACCAUUCCUACCCUUCCUUUGCCUUUCACUUUUCCUUUCCCCUUCCCCUUCCCCCUUCCCCUUCCCUUGCUUUCCCUUGCCUUGCCUUGCCUGUACUAAAGAGGCCCAGCACACUUUCAGAAGAUCUAUCAAGAUAAUUACCUACAGUGGUGUUGCUGUAGUGGUUUUUAGAUGAGAUUUUGGCUAAUCAACAUUUCAGACCUACUCCGACAGGCAGAGCACAGGAGGAAGAGGAGGAGGAGGAGAGGUAAUGUUACCCAUGUCUCACAAUUUGUAACACAGGAAAUAAUACUAACUGCUGACUGGAAAGGAGGGGAAAGCACAAAGAAAUGUGAUGAUAAAUGUCUUUGUAAGUGCAUGCUCAUUUACCACAGUUGAAGAACUGAAAUUAAAUGACAGCUGCUGAAACAUGAGAAAUACAAAGAGAGAGGAAGACCAUAAGCAAUGGUAAAAGGAUUAUACUUUUUAACAUAAAAAACCUCAGAAUAAGAAGAGACAAUCCAGGCAGAGAACAAACGAAGGCUAGGAAAACACUCCCAAACUCCUACCCUGAGGAUUGAAACUUGAAAUUUAUUUUAUUAUCUGUCUGGCAAAGACGCCUUUGUGUUCAGUCUACCCCUCUGUCGGAUUACAUGAACACACAGCUAGUGCAUAGAGAUUUCAAAAAAGUGGAAGGCAUAUAUCUGUGGGCUGAAAUUACUCCAUAAAAUAAACUUUCUGCAUGAAGGUGACUGAGCAAGAGCUAUACUUACAUCAUCUUGGUUCAGAAUCCUCUGCUGAUCGACAGACUAGCACUGUAACCGCAGUGAUGAGUCUUCGGUAGAUGACUAAUUCUAACAUUGCUAUUUUGGUGGAAAACUUGAACUGAGUAUUGCAUAUGAAUUGAGGAGACAUCACCCAGGGCUCAAAGCCUUCAGUAGCAUACAAAAAGCAAUAACUUUUUUUCUAGUCAGUGGCAACAUGUGAGCAAGAAGUGAACUUCUGCUUUACCUGCUCUCCUGAGACAGCAGCUUGAUGCAUGCUGUGUGCCCACAGUACACUGCAUAUGUCAGAGGAGUGUUUUCAUUGAUGUCUCGAGGGCUGCUGUCUAUCCCCAGUUCUAGCAGUGUCUGCACACAGUCAGCUUUCCCUGCUGCUGCAGCCCAGUGCAAAGGCGUCCUACAGAAAAGGGGGAGUAUCAUUAAAAUAGAUGAAUAAAUUUACUAUCAAAACUAUUAAUGACAUAAUAGGUGUGCUCCUAUGCUACUCGUCCAGAUUCAUGACAUCAGUUUUAGGGAAUUCUCCAGCAACUUAUCCCACAUUGAUGUAGCUGCCAGUGGCAGUAAUAAGGCCAUAGAGUGGCAUCUAUGUGCAUCUAUUUAACUGUAGAGAAAGUAGAUACAGGGCUGCAGAGUGCCUAUACAUGCUAUAUAAUAGCAUCUCUUCUGCUGCUGGAGUUGCAGACAGGGAGGAGUGCCUGAAGUUUUCAGAGCAGAAUUUGAAAAAAAUAUUUCUAGUGUCCACUGCAUAGGGACAAGCUCUUCUCAUCUUUACACCAAACACAAUUAGCAAUGAUUGGCUCAGGGCUCUCCAUGAAGGUAGUAGGAGAAGAAGCCUCCCCCAGAUGAAUGAGAAGGACUGGACGCAUCUACCAGACUGUCAUCACCCCUCUGCCAGUUUCUCCAUUCUUUGAUGGGCACAGACUGGAGCAGAUAUAAUUGUUUUGAAUCUGUGUAGGAGAAUCAGAUUUUCUGCUUGGCAGAAGAUUUGCGUCUUGUCUUUGGAAACUUUUGUCCAGUAGUUUCCAAAUGGUAAGAUUUUGUUUUUGUGAAAAAUCUGAAAGCCCAGAAAACACCAUAAGAAAACUGUGCAAGAAUAAAGAACAAAAUUGA